rnacentral:rRNA from 1 species
GAUGAACGCUGGCGGCGUGUUUAACACAUGCAAGUCGAACGCCGUAGCAAUACGGAGUGGCAGACGGGUGAGUAACGCGUGGGAACCUUCCCAAUGGUACGGAAUAGCCCAGGGAAACUUGGAGUAAUACCGUAUAAGCCCGAAAGGGGAAAGAUUUAUCGCCAUUGGAUGGGCCCGCGUCGGAUUAGCUAGUUGGUGAGGUAAUGGCUCACCAAGGCGACGAUCGGUAGCGUGGUCUGAGAGGACGAUCAGCCACACUGGGACUGAGACACGGCCCAGACUCCUACGGGAGGCAGCAGUGGGGAAUAUUGGACAAUGGGCGCAAGCCUGAUCCAGCCAUGCCGCGUGAGUGAAGAAGGCC